UUCAACUUGAGAGUUUGAUCCUGGCUCAGAACGAACGCUGGCGGCAGGCCUAACACAUGCAAGUCGAACGAGACCUUCGGGUCUAGUGGCGGACGGGUUAGUAACGCGUGGGAACGUGCCUCUCUCUACGGAAUAGCCCCGGGAAACUGGGUUUAAUACCGUAUACGCCCUUCGGGGGAAAGAUUUAUCGGAGAGAGAUCGGCCCGCGUUGGAUUAGGUAGUUGGUGGGGUAAUGGCCUACCAAGCCUACGAUCCAUAGCUGGUUUGAGAGGAUGAUCAGCAACACUGGGACUGAGACACGGCCCAGACUCCUACGGGAGGCAGCAGUGGGGAAUCUUAGACAAUGGGCGCAAGCCUGAUCUAGCC
rnacentral:rRNA from 1 species